rnacentral:piRNA from 1 species
UGGACCUAGUUGGGGUGCUGAGGCAAACACU